GGUGGCGCAGUGGUAGCGCAGUGGACUGUUAAUCCAUGUGUCGUAGGUUCGAAUCCUACCC
rnacentral:tRNA from 1 species